rnacentral:rRNA from 1 species
UAAGCGUACUGGAAAGUGCACUUGGAAUAACAAAAUACUGCACAAAGCUUCAUUACCUGGCAAAAUUUGUUAAAUCAAAAUAUUUUGAGCUUAAAUACUAGCCUAAACUUAUUCACAUUCUAUUUUCUUACUAAAACAUUUUAACUAUAUAGUAGAGGCGAUCAAAAAAUUUAUAAGCGCUUUAGAAACAGUACCGCAAGGGAAAUAUGAAAUAAAAAUGAAAUAACUAUUAAGCAUAUAAAAGCAGAGACUCAACCUCGUACCUUUCGCAUCAUGGUUUAGCUAGUCUUACCAGGCAAAAAGAAUUUUAGUCUGACUUCCCGAAACUUAGUGAGCUACUCUAAAGCAGCCGAACGGGCCAACCCAUCUCUGUAGCAAAAUAGUGGGAAGACUUUAAAGUAGAAGUGAAAAGCCUAUCGAACUGAGUAAUAGCUGGUUACUUGAGAAAAGAAUUUUAGUUCUGCCUAAAGUCCCUGAUAUGCUAUAAACAAUUCACAAGACUUUAGAGUUAAACAAAUAAGGUACAGCUUAUUUGUUUCAGGAUACAACCUACAUUAGAGGGUAAAUUAAUUAUAAUUAACUCAAGUG